GACGAACGCUGGCGGCGUGCUUAACACAUGCAAGUCGAGCGGAGCGGCGAACGGGUGAGUAACGCGUGAGUAACUGCCCCCUUCUUGGGGUAAACAGUUGGAAACGGUGGCAAAUACCGGAAAGUGGGGGAUGAGGCGGGUCUCAUCGGCUUGUUGGUGGGGUAGGGGCUUACCAAGUGGAGGACGGGUAGCCGGCCUGAGAGGGCGACCGGCCACAUUGGGCUACGAUACGGCCCAAACUCCUACGGGAGGCAGCAGUGGGGAAUAUUGCACAAUGGGGGAGACUCUGAGGCAGCAGCGCCGCGUGCGGGAUGACGGCCUUCGGGUUGUAAACCGCUUUCAGCCAUGACGCGGUAGUGACAGAAGAAGCACCGGCUAACUACGUGCCAGCAGCCGCGGUAAUAC
rnacentral:rRNA from 1 species